rnacentral:rRNA from 1 species
CCUACGGGAGGCAGCAGUAGGGAAUCUUUCACAAUGGGCGAAAGCCUGAUGGAGCAACGCCGCGUGCAGGAUGAAGGCCUUCGGGUUGUAAACUGCUUUUAUAAGCGAGAAAUAUGAUGGUAACUUAUGAAUAAGGAUCGGCUAACUACGUGCCAGCAGCCGCGGUCAUACGUAGGAUCCGAGCAUUAUCCGGAGUGACUGGGUGUAAAGAGUUGCGUAGGUGGCAUAAUAAGUAGCUAGUGAAAUCUGGUGGCUCAACCAUUCAGACUAUUAGCUAAACUGUUAAGCUCGAGACCGUUAGGGGUAACUGGAAUUUCUAGUGUAGGAGUGAAAUCCGUAGAUAUUAGGAGGAACACCAAUAGCGUAGGCAGGUUGCUGGGACGGUUCUGACACUAAGGCACGAAAGCGUAGGGAGCAAACGGGAUUAGAUACCCCAGUAGUC